CCCCCCUCCCCUUCUAGCUCUGACUCUACUGAUAGCUACAAUAUUGAGGAACAUUUACUUUCUCUGCCUGCGAUGUGUGGUUGUCUUAAGAUGAAUGCACUAACUGUAAGUCGCUCUGGAUAAGAGCGUCUGCCAAAUGACAAAAAUAUAUAUAUAUAUAUUCUUGUAAAUUGACCGGACUGUUGCUUUUUCAUCAGAAACUAUAAUAUUGUUUGGUUCUGUAUUUCACAUGUUAAUAAGUUAAUUAGCAUUCCAGUGGCAGUGUAAGAAGGUAUCCAUAGUGCUUUGUUGUAAACACACAGACAUUUGUAGAGUGCAGUGUAAGAAGGUAUCCAUAGUGCUUUGUUGUAAACACACAGACAUUUGUAGAGUGCAGUGUAAGAAGGUAUCCAUAGUGCUUUGUUGUAAGCACACAGACAUUUGUAGAGUGCAGUGUAAGAAGGUAUCCAUAGUGCUUUGUUGUAAGCACACAGACAUUUGUAGAGUGCAGUGUAAGAAGGUAUCCAUAGUGCUUUGUUGUAAGCACACAGACAUUUGUAGAGUGCAGUGUAAGAAGGUAUCCAUAGUGCUUUGUUGUAAGCACACAGACAUUUGUAGAGUGCAGUGUAAGAAGGUAUCCAUAGUGCUUUGUUGUAAACACACAGACAUUUGUAGAGUGCAGUGUAAGAAGGUAUCCAUAGUGCUUUGUUGUAAGCACACAGACAUUUGUAGAGUGC